rnacentral:rRNA from 1 species
AUUGAACGCUGGCGGAAUGCUUUACACAUGCAAGUCGAGCGGCAGCACGGGGGCAACCCUGGUGGCGAGCGGCGAACGGGUGAGCAAUACAUCGGAACAUGCCCAGUCGUGGGGGAUAACACUUCGAAAGAAGUGCUAAUACCGCAUACGUCCUGAGGGAGAAAGCGGGGGAUCUUCGGACCUCGCGCGAUUGGAGUGGCCGAUGUCAGAUUAGCUAGUUGGUGGGGUAAAGGCCUACCAAGGCAACGAUCUGUAGCUGGUCUGAGAGGAUGAUCAGCCACACUGGGACUGAGACACGGCCCAGACUCCUACGGGAGGCAGCAGUGGGGAAUUUUGGACAAUGGGGGCAACCCUGAUCCAGCCAUUCCGCGUGAGUGAAGAAGGCCUUCGGGUUGUAAAGCUCUUUCGGCAGGAACGAAACGGCGAGCUCUAACAUAGCUUGCUAAUGACGGUACCUGAAGAAGAAGCACCGGCUAACUACGUGCCGGCCGCCGCGGUAAGAC